rnacentral:sRNA from 14 species
GGCUGGUUGAUGGUCAUGGGUUAAUCAGAACUUUUAGUGUCACUAAAGUUGGUAUACAAUACCCCACUGUUAAAUUUGCCUGGCUUUGA